AUUACUCCUACGGGAGGCAGCAGUGAGGAAUAUUGGUCAAUGGGCGAGAGCCUGAACCAGCCAAGUCGCGUGAAGGAUGAAGGUUUUAUGAAUUGUAAACUUCUUUUGCAGGGGAAUAAAGUACGGUACGUGUACCGUUUUGUAUGUACUCUGCGAAUAAGGAUCGGCUAACUCCGUGCCAGCAGCCGCGGUAAUACGGAGGAUCCAAGCGUUAUCCGGAUUUAUUGGGUUUAAAGGGUGCGCAGGCGGAUCAAUAAGUCAGGGGUGAAAAAUUUCAGCUUAACUGGAAUCGUGUCUUUGAUACUGUUGGACUAGAGUAUAAUUGACGUGACUGGAAUGUGAUGUGUAGCGGUGAAAUGCUUAGAUAUGACACAGAACACCGAUCGCGAAGGCAGCUAGCUAAGCUAUAACUGACGCUCAUGCACGAAAGCGUGGGGAUCAAACAGGAUUAGAUACCCUGGUAGUCAAU
rnacentral:rRNA from 1 species